CCAGAGGUGCGGCUUGCUC
rnacentral:piRNA from 1 species